AGCAAACAGGAUUAGAUACCUGGUAGUCCACGCCGUAAACGAUGUCGACUUGGAGGUUGUUCCCUUGAGGAGUGGCUUCCGGAGCUAACGCGUUAAGUCGACCGCCUGGGGAGUACGGCCGCAAGGUUAAAACUCAAAUGAAUUGACGGGGGCCCGCACAAGCGGUGGAGCAUGUGGUUUAAUUCGAUGCAACGCGAAGAACCUUACCUACUCUUGACAUCCASRGAAUUUGCAGAGAUGCUUAGUGCCUUCGGGAACGUGAGACAGGUGCUGCAUGGCUGUCGUCAGCUCGUGUUGUGAAAUGUUGGGUUAAGUCCCGCAACGAGCGCAACCCUUAUCCUUUGUUGCCAGCGAUUCGGUCGGGAACUCAAAGGAGACUGCCGGUGAUAAACCGGAGGAAGGUGGGGAUGACGUCAAGUCAUCAUGGCCCUUACGAGUAGGGCUACACACGUGCUACAAUGGCGCAUACAAAGAGAAGCGACCUCGCGAGAGCAAGCGGACCUCAUAAAGUGCGUCGUAGUCCGGAUCGGAGUCUGCAACUCGACUCCGUGAAGUCGGAAUCGCUAGUAAUCGUGGAUCAGAAUGCCACGGUGAAUACGUUCCCGG
rnacentral:rRNA from 1 species